rnacentral:rRNA from 1 species
UACGUAGGGUGGGAGCGUUAAUCGGAAUUACUAGGCGUAAAGGGCAGGCAGGCGGAUCCAUAAGUUUAUCGUUUAAGGCGUCGGCUUAACCGGCGUAGGGCGGUAGAUACUGUGGAUCUGGAAUGCGGUUGGGGAAGACAGAAUUCCUGGUGUAGCGGUGGAAUGCGCAGAGAUCAGGAGGAAUACCGAAGGCGAAGGCAGUCUUCCAAGCCGUUAUUGACGCUCAACUGCGAAGGUGUGGGUAUCAAACAGGAUUAGAUACCCUGGUAGUCCCUGA